GAUGAACGCUGGCGGCGUGCCUAAUACAUGCACGUCGAGCGAACGGACGAGAAGCUUGCUUAUCUGAUGCUAGAGGCGGACGGGCGAGUAACACGUGGAUAACCUACCUAUAAGACUGGGAUAACUUCGGGAAACAGGAGCUAAUAUCGGAUAAUAUUUUGAACUGCCUGGUUCAAAAGUGAAAGACGGUCUUGCUGUCACUUACAGAUGGACCUGCGCUGCAUUAGCUAGUUGGUAAGGUAACGGCUUACAAAGUCAACGAUGCAGAGCCGACCUGAGGGCGUACUCGGCCACACUGGAACGGAGACACGGUCCGGACUCCUACGUGAGGCAGAAGUAGGGAAUCUUCCGCAAUGGUCGAAAGCCUGACGGAGCAACGCCGCGUGUGUUACGAAGGUCUUCGGAUCGUAAAACGCUGUUAUUAGGGAAGAACAUAUGUGUAAGUAACUGUGCACAUCUUGACGGUACCUAGUCAGAGAGCCACGUCUGACGACGUU
rnacentral:rRNA from 1 species